rnacentral:lncRNA from 1 species
AGACGUUUAUUUUAAGACCCAGGUUUAUAGACUACCAGAAAGUCCAUAUUAUAACACUUAUAUCACAUCAUCUUUUCUUUUGAGAGUAAAGUAUAAUAAAAAUAUUUUUUUAAUAUUCAUGAUGAUGGGAUGGGUGAAUCUAAAAAAAUCUGAUUAGUUGGAAACGCGAUAUCAAUAAUAUAAUUAGUGUAUUUUAGACUUUUU